rnacentral:rRNA from 1 species
UUAUCAUUAGAGGAAGGAGAAGUCGAACAAGGUUUCCGUAGGUGAACCUGCGGAAGGAUCAUUGUCGAAUCCUGCAAACCACCGCGAACACGUUUAACAAAACCCGCGGGUUGCCGGCGGACGCCCGUCUGCUGGCACCCGCACCUAACCAAACUUCCGGCGCUGGUUGCGCCAAGGAUUACACAAACGGAUCGUUCGCAUCCCCCUGCGGUGUCCGCGGGGCGGGUGCGGCGCAUCUGAAUCGUAACCAAUACGACUCUCGGCAACGGAUAUCUAGGCUCUCGCAUCGAUGAAGAACGUAGCGAAAUGCGAUACUUGGUGUGAAUUGCAGAAUCCCGUGAACCAUCGAGUUUUUGAACGCAAGUUGCGCCCGAAGCCAUUAGGCUGAGGGCACGUCUGCCUGGGCGUCACGCGCCGUCGCCACCCCUCUCAUCGCGCACUGAUGCGUUUGAGUCGGGUGACGGAUGUUGGCCUCCCGUGCUCCUCGGGACGCGGCUGGCCCAAAUCGGAGUCCUCCGUUCGGGACGUCACGACAAGUGGUGGUUGAAAACUUCAACUCGAUCGAAGCCGUGAUCGAGACCGUGCCGGUGAACUCAGAGACCCAGGAGCCUUAGGGCCCUCGACCAUGACCCCAGGUCAGGCGGGACUACCCGCUGA